CGCCGUCCUUAUUGGAAGACGUUGUUUAUGUACUCUACUAUUUAAAGUUUUUUCUAAUAGUACUCAUAACAACAUUUGACGUCACAUUUCGCAAGUGCACUUUAUGAGUUGGCUUUGCACGGUAUUGAUAGGUCAAUAGUUAUGUUGUUUACGAAAAAACAAACGCAAAUCGAGCAAAGUUCUUGCACAUAAAAAAGGCUAACUGAUAGCGAAAUUAUUUUCACCAUACAUAUAGACACUGCAUCAGUGGUAUAUGGAGUCACUCCCAUAUCUACCGUCUGCCCCACCUGCUUGAUCAACAUUUCCUGAUGCCUCUCAAGAAUGCGUUCUUCAUUACACAGAUGUCAUAAUAUAUUCGUAUCCAUAGGGGGGAGAUGGUAUAGUCAAAAAUGUAAAGACGAAUGCAGAAAAUCGUUUAGGAGAUAAUGGAAAAACGAAGACAAAGAUGUGCAAAAUAACUAUUUUUACAAAAUGCACAACAGUUAGCCGGUUUAUUGUUUAACUCUUAUUAACAUUGAUUAGUAAUUAUGUUAAACCGAAAUUAAAUUUAUUUUAUAUUAUUAAACAUUGCUUGCAGCGGAGUAUGCAUAAAUUCA